rnacentral:rRNA from 1 species
UGGGGAAUAUUGCACAAUGGGGGAAACCCUGAUGCAGCGACGCCGCGUGAGCGAAGAAGGUUUUCGAAUCGUAAAGCUCUGUCCUAUGAGAAGAUAAUGACGGUAUCAUAGGAGGAAGCCCCGGCUAAAUACGUGCCAGCAGCCGCGGUAAUACGUAUGGGGCGAGCGUUGUCCGGAAUUAUUGGGCGUAAAGGGUACGUAGGCGGUCUAUUAAGUCAGGUGUGAAAGCGUGAGGCUUAACCUCAUUAAGCACUUGAAACUGAUAGACUUGAGUGAAGGAGAGGAAAGUGGAAUUCCUAGUGUAGCAGUGAAAUGCGUAGAUAUUAGGAGGAAUACCGGUGGCGAAGGCGACUUUCUGGACUUUUACUGACGCUCAGGUACGAAAGCGUGGGGAGCAAACAGG